AAGGCCUUAGCUUAAUAAAAGUGUCUGGUUUGCAUCCAGAAGAUGUGAGUUAAUGUCUUACAGGUCUUA
rnacentral:tRNA from 1 species